GAUGAACGCUGGCGGCGUGCUUAACACAUGCAAGUCGAACGGAAAGGCCCAAGCUUGCUUGGGUACUCGAGUGGCGAACGGGUGAGUAACACGUGGGUGAUCUGCCCUGCACUUCGGGAUAAGCCUGGGAAACUGGGUCUAAUACCGGAUAGGACCACUUCUUGGAUGUUGUGGUGGAAAGUUUUUUCGGUGUGGGAUGAGCUCGCGGCCUAUCAGCUUGUUGGUGGGGUAAUGGCCUACCAAGGCGUCGACGGGUAGCCGGCCUGAGAGGGUGUACGGCCACAUUGGGACUGAGAUACGGCCCAGACUCCUACGGGAGGCAGCAGUGGGGAAUAUUGCACAAUGGGCGCAAGCCUGAUGCAGCGACGCCGCGUGGGGGAUGACGGCCUUCGGGUUGUAAACUCCUUUCGCUAGGGACGAAGCGUUUUGCGACGGUACCUGGAGAAGAAGCACCGGCUAACUACGUG
rnacentral:rRNA from 1 species